ACUCCACGAUUAAGUACCCUAAGAAGGUUAUGUUUUUUCAAUAGUGCGGUUUUAAACUGCUCCGAACAUUGUAUAAAUAGCAAUAUUCGAAACAACUGAAAGUAUUUAUUUUUAAAUUCAUAUUAUAACUUAUCAUAAUGAAAUCGAGUAUGAGGUUUUUAAAGGAAAUUUAUUACGACCCUUUUAAAUGGUCAGUGAUUAAGAGCAUUGGAUUUUUUGCAUUGGGUGUAAAGAUUGCACUCGAAUGCAAAGGGACAGUUUUAAUGCCACCGAUUUCUGGUUAAAAUGAAAAACACUAUUGAUGUAAUAUGUAUGAAUUUGCCAUAUUGUAUAUUUCUGUCUGCAUUUUAUUAUUUUAAUGUAAUAUAUUGUGUUAUGAAAUAAUGUUAAAAAACAUAACGCAUCCUUCAUGGAUACAUAAUACUUUCCCGGAUUAUUUAAUUUCUGAAUUGUAGAUACAAUAGCUAUAACAUAAUGUAACUGAAUUAAAUUUUUCAUAUAGAUAAAAUAGCAUUUACAGAUAUGUAAAUAUUCCAUAGACGUUUUUCAGUAAAAUAAAUAUAAUGUGUAAAUUGUAUUAAUAUU